CUGUGACCUGAGCAGCCGCGUCGCCGCCGACGAUGGAGCGCGACCGCUGGGGACAUGACCAGCCGUCGCCGACGCGCGACGAGCCGGCGGAGGAGCCGGCCCGCAACCGGCUCUCCGACGGCGACAGCGACGACGACAGCGACGAGUAUGAGGAGGUCACCACCAUCACGCGCACCCUCAAGAAGACGACGUACAAGCCGCGCGUGACAGCAUCGCUCGCGUCGAAGGAGGCGGGUGUCAACAAGAAACUGUUCGGAAAAGACCUGAGCGAAUAUGACAACAUGGACAUGGACGACAUGCUGGACCAGCUGACGGCGGAGGAGAUCGACAUGCUGUCGCGUGAUGUCGAUCCAGACGACUCGCUGAUGCCGCCUGAUCAGCGGACAGCCUACCGGUGCGAUAAGUCGGCCACCGGGCCGCUCAACCGGAAGAAGCUGAUCGACCACAUCAACGAGCAGGCGACCAGCGAGCCGGACCGGCCGGAGCAGGUGCCCUUCGAAGCCGGCAUCAUCAGAGGCAAGAAGUGGACGCCGGCGCCGGCGCCACAGGAGCAGCAGCGGGCCGACGAGCAGAUCGCCCUGGACCUGGGCGACGAGUACGAGUCGGCGCUCACCGACGCCUCCGAGAACGAGCUGGUGGACCUGGCAGCGAUCCUCGGCUUCCACUCGAUGAUGAACCAGGACCAGUACCACGCGUCGCUGCUGGGCAAGAAGCUGGACACGGAGGAGGUGGGCUGGAGCGGCAUCACGCGCGCCUCGCGGCCCAAGCCGAUGGCGCCCGAGCCGCCCAACACCACCGACCCCGAACAGUCGAUCGAGAGCGUCAAGCGGGACGACCCCGAAGUGCGCCAGCUUAACCUCAACAACAUCAAGACGAUUUCUGCCGAGCAGUUCGGUCGGCUGUGUCAGGCCGCCACCACCAACACUCGGCUGGAGGGCCUGCUCGUCUCCAACACGGCCAUGGGCGAUGCCUACGCCGAGAAGCUGGUCCAGCUGAUCGAGACCAAUCCUAACAUCAAGGAGAUCAGCAUCGAAUCCAAUUUCAUCAGCCCUCCUAUGAUCGCCCGGCUGGUGAAGGCCCUACUCAAGCAUAAAAGCGUCGAAACAUUUCGAGCCGCAAACCAGAGAUCUCAAGUCCUCGGAAACAAGAUUGAAAUGGAGAUUACAAAGUACGUGGAGCAGAACCCCAACCUCCUCCAACUGGGACUGAACUUCGACUUCAAUGACGCCCGCGCCAGGGUGUCUGCGCAGCUGCAGAAGAACAGGGACCGGUUCCGGACGGGCAAGCGGUCCAGGCUGAGCUGCAGGCUAUUCCGUGACCUUAUAUGGAAGAAAGUAGCAUAACCAAGCGCGCCUGGCACGCCAGGAGGCGCCUCCCACAUCUAAAUGAACGUGUAUGCGUCUCUGCUUGAGUGCGUGCAACCCGAUCAGUGGUACGUUUGUCGGCGCCACCUCCCACUUCGUCCGGCGGCAACACCUCCGGGAAGG